CAGCAGUAGCCGCGGGAAUACGUAGGUGGCGAGCGUUGUCCGGAAUUAUUGGGCGUGGAGGGAGCGCAGGCGGACAUAUAAGUCCAUCUUAAAAGUGCGGGGCUCAACCCCGUGAGGGGAUGGAAACUGUAUGCCUUGAGUGCAGGAGAGGAAAGCGGAAUUCCCAGUGUAGCGGUGAAAUGCGUAGAUAUAUGGAGGAACACCAGUGGCGAAGGCGACUCUCUGGUCUGUAACUGACGCUGAGGAGCGAAAGCGUGGGGAGCGAACAGGAUUAGAUACCCCUGUAGUCCCUGUCUCUUAUACA
rnacentral:rRNA from 1 species